GAUGAACGCUAGCGGCAGGCUUAAUACAUGCAAGGCGAGGGGGCAGCAAUGUCACCGUCGUACGGGUGCGUAACGCGUAUGCAACCUACCUUCAACUGGGGGAUAGCCCGGGGAAAACCCGGAUUAAUACCGCAUAACACAGGGGUACAGCAUUGUACUAUUUGUUAAAGAUUUAUUGGUUGAAGAUGGGCAUGCGUUCG
rnacentral:rRNA from 1 species